rfam:Corynebacterium halotolerans YIM 70093 = DSM 44683, complete genome.
CUGUCACCGCCUCGCUGAUGUGCGACGGAGUCCGUGGUGGUGCCAGAGAGUUUUCAGACGUCCAUCGCACCGUGCGGAACUGACAAUCCGCCCGGCCCUAACACGGGAGAGAACGCUGAGCGUUACAAC